CGGUAAUUCCAGCUCCAAUAGCUGUAUAUUUAAGUUGUUGCAGUUAAAAAGCUCGUAGUUGGACUUUGGGACGGGUCGGUCGGUCCGCCUCGCGGUGUGCACCGGUCGUCCCAUCCCUUCUGUCGGCGAUGCGUGCCUGGCCUUAACUGGCCGGGUCGUGCCUCCGGCGCUGUUACUUUGAAGAAAUUAGAGUGCUCAAAGCAAGCCCACGCUCUGGAUACAUUAGCAUGGGAUAACAUCACAGGAUUUCGGUCCUAUUGUGUUGGCCUUCGGGAUCGGAGUAAUGAUUAAGAGGGACAGUCGGGGGCAUUCGUAUUUCAUAGUCAGAGGUGAAAUUCUUGGAUUUAUGAAGGACGAACCACUGCGAAAGCAUUUGCCAAGGAUGUUUUCAUUAAUCAAGAACGAAAGUUGGGGGCUCGAAGACGAUCAGAUACCGUCCUAGUCUCAACCAUAAACGAUGCCGACCAGGGAUCGGCGGAUGUUGCUCUUAGGACUCCGCCGGCACCUUAUGAGAAAUCAAAGUCUUUGGGUUCCGGGGGGAGUAUGGUCGCAAGGCUG
rnacentral:rRNA from 1 species